rnacentral:tRNA from 1 species
GGGGAGAUAGCUCAGUCGGUAGAGCAAUGGAUUGAAAAUCCAUGUGUCCGCGGUUCAAUUCCGCGUCUUCCCACCA